AGGCGAAACGCCUCGUCCCCGCACGCCAGCGGUGGGCGAGGUGUCCGGCCGGGGUGGUGCCCGGCUGCUGAUGAAGCCAGCCAGCU
rnacentral:hammerhead_ribozyme from 1 species